CAUGGCGGCGCUCUCAAAUUGUUUGUUGUGGCCUCAUCGUCGGUGACAAACUGGUGAGGUUCAACCACAACGACAGGAUCUUGUACCAGGAGAUGAAAGCUCUCCCCCGGCGCGCGGUCUGAACAGGGAUGAACUCAAGGAGCCGCGAUGGAAGAGGAGGGGGCAAUCAACUUCAAAGCUCUGAGGGCCAAGUUUCAGGAAGAGGCCCGCCUGGCUCAGUCCAACAACAGACGGCCAGCUGUUGCUGAGAAACCCAAACAUCUUCCACCUACUGGAGGACACUGCGCCUCCGUGGUUAGCAGUACCAGUGUUGCUGUGGAAAGCAAGAUACCAGUGGCUACCCGGGUCUUUUUCCGAGAUGGGCUGCAGGCAUCUGGAGGCAAGCGACCAAUUUCCUUUUCACCACAACCUCGGCCGACAUCCCCCUCGUCCCAGCUCACCAACGGAGACAGCACAACAAGGCAGUCCCUCAAAGAGCGACACAUGCCUCAGGUGCUUCCUGCCUUCCCUGUAAAAGAGAAGAAAGAAGCACCAGUCAGAAAGGCGCCCAAACCGGAACCAGAGUCACGAAAAGAACUCCUGCCGCACACUAAAAUCAAGAAGAAGGGUUUGCUGCUUCCCUUCAAGUCCGUCAAAGCAUCAAAAGUCAGUGCAGUAAAUGGAGAGGAGCCCACUUAUAAUGAUUUGACCAUGAGACCCUCUAGUGCUCCUGGCGAGUUGCCCUCGAUGGCGAGACAGACCGCAGAAGACGGUGUAUCAGUCGAAAGUGAUCACUCUACUGUCGAGUGGCCCCUUUCAAGCCCAGAUAUGAGGAUCACCCCUCCGUCUUCGGAGACGAGCGGCGACUCUGACAGCAGAAUCCUUAGCACCUUGGAGAGGGCCAAGAGAAAGUUCUCACGCCGGCAGAUGUUGUUUUCCAUAAAACCCAAGAGCCUGCAUUCCCCCGACUAUGCAACAAGAGACAAGGCGUUCCCUUUGCCACCGAAGUACGUCCUAAGUUCUGAGCCUGACCUCCCUAUACCCCCACCGGUCUGCUUGCCACACCUGGCUUGUAUUUCAGCGCGGCCUUUCUUCAAAGCCAACAAUACACUUAAGCCUUUAUUCACUAAGCAGUUGGGCAGGGAUCGAGCUGCAUGUCCCAUUGUGAGGACGACUGAACCUCAUUCCCCGUCUGCUCCUCCAAAGAAACCUCUACCUGACCUGAGCUCUCUGGGAAGACAGCCAGCGAAGCCCCCCAGACCUCCAUUAGUAGACCUGAGCUGCCACCGUCUACCCACAGCCCAUGUUGUGCCACCAGGUCUUAGCCAAGCUGCAGCUGUGGAGCCAGAGUGUGAGCUCCCAUCCAUCCCCAACCCUGUGCUGGACGCUCCAGAGUUUCCAGAGUUUAAGAUUUCAGAAAUCGAAGCAGCAGAGGGAGAAGCUGUCGAUAUCGCUGCACUCGAACUGGAGGCUUUAGACUUUGUCAUCUCUGACCUGCCCUUACCAGUUGACUUUGAUGUCCCAGAUUUUGAGGCUUCCCAGCCUGAUUUAUUUGGGUGUGAUCCCACAGAGCCCGGCGUGAGCUCCGUCACCCAAGAUCUGAACAUCGGCAGUCGAAAUAUAAUCCUGCUUGAUCCAGCCAGCUUCCCUGAACCAAUAAACUUUUCAGAUUUCCAAGAGCCUGCUGCGCCAGAGCAGUGGUCUCAGAGUGGGGAGGCGAUCGCACACCCUCUUUCUCACUGUCACGCUGAUGAGCCUGAUCUGGGAGCUGCUGAGUGCCACUCGGUCCCAGAGGAAACAGCGCUUAAUAACCAUGCAGAAAUGAAUGAUUGUAUUCAGACACAUCCGAGUGCUCCUCAACAGGACAAUUCCUAUGAAGCGUGUGACAAUGUGUACGAAGAUGUUGAAAACCUCAACAAAGCUGUCUUUGGCCAGAGCUCUCGUAAACGCAGAGCUGGUCUGAAGAAUCCAUAUGCUGACCCCCAAAAAAUGAAGGAGGAGGCGUCCCUAAACACAUGGCCACGGAAUCUAUGUAAGGAACGCCAAAGCCCCAACACUGCUGACUGUAAAGAACAGAAGAAGCGGGAGAAGCAUCGUUUUGAGAAGGAGAAAAAGGAGCAAAAAGAGAGGGAGAAAAAGGAAAAUGAAAUGAAAAAGAAGUUCAAGGUGACAGGCGAGGAGCAGCCCAUGUACCACGCCAAGGUGAUGGUGGCCAGUAAAGUCCGCAAGCAUGACCUGCCUGUGAAGAGCGGGGACACGGUCAGCAUCAUCCGCACCACUAACUGCCCCAAAGGCAAAUGGUUGGCUCGAGACGAAGACCACAAGUAUGGUUAUAUUUCAGUCAUGAAUGUGGAGCUAAAUAUCAAGGAGAUGCUGGAACUGGGGAAGAAGGCCCAAGCUGCAGGACGAGGAGGAAACCCAGACGGAGACACCAUCAGCAACGACAGCAGAUCCUCCAGUCACCCUGUGCUAACAAGUAGUUUCAGUGAUGACAGCGAGGAGUGGGCCUGUGAAGACGAGACUCUCUCGCCCUCCAACGAAAGCCAUAGUUUUCCCCAGCGGACCUCGUCCAUGUCGGAGAUGUCUUGUACCCAUGUCAGCACCCAGCACACUCUGAGCGAUGCCAACCUGGAGGACCUACACACACAAACCAGACAUGAGGCCCUGCAGAAACUGGCCAUCUUCUUCCAACACACCAAAGAUGAAUUGGUUAAAGCUGAUGAUGUUGAAGGAAAAACACCCACAAAUGCUGAACCACCAGGUGAGUUUACAGACCUUUUUUUUUUUUUCAUGACUGCACUGUUGUCACCACUUCUUUCGCACUCACUGAUACUGGUGAGCUAAGAGGACACCCCUCACAGAUCACUUUGAGGACACUGGAGUCUAAGCACUGGUUGGCGUCUCGCCUGUCAUGGAAAAUAAACUAGGUCUUGUGUGCUGUUGAGGAGCCUCCAAAACCGUGAGUGUUGAGUCUCCUUCUAAUCAACGGGUGAAGCUCGGCUCCGUUUGAUCUCUAUUUGUAUUCGUGGAGUACUCGUAGAUAUUGGCAAAGAAGCACUCGCAGUACUUGAGGUUAUCUGGUAUCCGCUGACAUGAACUGUAAUGUUCCAUUUUGUUUUGUACGACAGGGAAAAGGAGGUCGACUUCACCGAGCUGGAACUCCUUCCUCCCCCACCACUAUACGCUGACACCUUCUGAUUACCUCACCGGCUAAAACUUUAACCGGACUCCUGGUAUUGAUGCUAUGAAGUAGAUCUGCCAUUGGGACCUGUUUCCCAUGAAGUUCAACAUCUAUUUUAACUUCAGUGGGCAGAGAAAAGAGAAAACUGUAUCAUGUAUGAGAAAUGAAGCUGCUGAUGUGACCACAUUCAAUCCAAAUAUCACUUUGUUGUCACUUUUGUGUUCCGCACUUAUUCUUUUUCUGAAGUUGCUGUUAAAAAGAGCAAACUGCACAAAAGAAGUCACUGUGCUUUAAUCACAACUGUUCACUUGUUGCUCGGGUUUAAGAGUAUGUUCUUUGCAUUUGGAUUUUCUCCGGUUUGUCUGUUACAUCUAAUAAAUAUUUCUCAUUGA